UGAUGUCCGUUCCUCUUCCUGUCCCCAGUCCUUCAGGAGGAUUUAAAGACGUCAGAGAAAAUGGGGUCUUUUUCACCCAGGAAGCUUCGGGCUUCGGCCCAAAAUAAAACCGGCUUCCUGGUUUUUGCGGGACCCAACAGAC